rnacentral:tRNA from 1 species
GCGGGUAUAGUUCAACGGUAGAACGUCAGCCUUCCAAGCUGAACAUGGGGGUUCGAUUCCCCCUACCCGCUCCA